GACGAACGCUGGCGGCGUGCUUAACACAUGCAAGUCGAACGAAGUGGCGAACGGGUGAGUAACGCGUAAUCAACCUGCCCUUCUGCCGGGGACAACAGUUGGAAACGACUGCUAAUACCGCAUACGGAAGGAGGAGAUUCGGUCUGAUUAGCUAGUUGGAGGGGUAAGGGCCAACCAAGGCGAUGAUCAGUAGCCGGUCUGAGAGGAUGAACGGCCACAAUGGGACUGAGACACGGCCCAGACUCCUACGGGAGGCAGCAGUGGGGAAUCUUCCGGAAUGGACGAAAGUCUGACGGAGCAACGCCGCGUGAGUGAUGACGGCCUUCGGGUUGUAAAGCUCUGUUAAUCGGGACGCGGUACCGGAAUAGAAAGCCACGGCUAACUACGUGCCAGCAGCCGCGGUAAUUC
rnacentral:rRNA from 1 species